AAAGAAAAUCCCAAAAAGGGUAAUAAAAAAACGAUUGAAAGACGCAUGUCAUUCGUGAUCGUACUAUCGUAAAGGAGGCUCGUACAACAAGAAGCAUUGGAAUUAGCAGCUGCAGCAAUAUCACCAGAAGCAGCAAAUUUAAAUUGUUAAAUAUUAUUAUGCUUUUUUUUUAAUUAUUCUUUCUUUUCAGACUUUAUCUCUAUUUUUAUUUAAUUAAUAUUGGCUUUC